UGAUCCACCCUACCACAUAUUGUCUCCUAAUGGCCGUCCAGUUUAUCCUGGAGCCCUUGCAUGACACAGGCCUAUCGAAGCAUAGGAGGUGCCAAUAUUUUACCUCUUGGGUACUUUCUGUGUAGAAGAUUCAUAACAAGAACAAUACUUAUUCUGCAAUUCUUUAUAUAAAGGCUUAAUUCUGUGACCUGCGUUUGAUCCAGCCAUGUGUAAAAGAAAAUGCAUUCUGCCAACAACUAAUGAGCUUGGAAGAGAACUCCAAACCCCAGAAGAGGCCUGUCACAUUGGCUAACACCUUGAUUUCCACCCACUGAGACCUUGAGCAGAGACUUCAGUUACACCCCACCCAGACUUCUGAC
rnacentral:lncRNA from 10 species